rnacentral:tRNA from 1 species
GCGGAUAUGGCGGAAUUGGCAGACGCGCACGGUUCAGGUCCGUGUGAAAGCAAUUUCAUACAGGUUCAAGUCCUGCUAUCCGCACCA